GAAGGCAUUCGACAAGGAUGUUUUCUUUAAUCAAGAACGAAAGUUAUGGGAUCGAAGAUGAUCAGAUACCGUCGUAGUCAUAACCGUAAACUAUGUUGACUCGGGAUCGGGGGAUGUUACAUGGAUGACUCUCCCGGCACCGUGUGCGAAAGCACAAGUAUUCGAACUCCGGGGGGAGUAUGGUCGCAAGGCUGAAACUUAAAGGAAUUGACGGAAGGGCACCACCAGGUGUGGAAUCUGCGGCUUAAUUUGACUCAACACGGGGAAACUUACCCAGUCCGGACGCGAUGAGGAUUGACAGAUUGAUAGUUCUUUCUUGAUUUUGUGGAAGCCGGUGCAUGGCCGUUUUUAGUUGGUGGAGUGAUUUGUCUGGUUAAGUCCGAUAACGAACGAGACCUAAAUUUAUUAAAUAGUGGUGCGAACAAGGGGGCUUUCGCGGCGGGUUCGGGUUCGCCCGGGCCCGUCGGGGCCUCCGUAAAUUUGUUCGUAGCUUUUUGUACUUCUUAGAGAGACACUUGGUCGAUAACAGCAGCCAAUGGAAGUUUUAGGCAAAAACAGGUCUGUGAUGCCGCUAGAUGUCUGGGGCUGCACGCGCGUUACACUGACAUGUUCAACGAGUAUUUAAGAACGACCUGGCCCGAAGGGGUUUGGGCAAUCUAAAAAUGCAUGUCGUGAUGGGGAUUGUGCUUUGUAACUAUCGCACAUGAACGAGGAAUACCUAGUAAGGGUAGGUCAUCAACCUGUCCUGAUUACGUCCCUGCCCUUUGUACACACCGCCCGUCGCUUCUACCGAUUGAAUUACUCGAUGAGGACUCGGGAGGUGGGGCUUGAUCCGGUUCCGCCGGUGAUGCUCUGCCGAACCUGUUCGAAUCUCGUAGUUAG
rnacentral:rRNA from 1 species